CGCACAUUGCGCCCAUGAGUAUUCUCGUGGGCAUGCCUGUUCGAGCGUCAUUUCGACCAUUAAGCUUAGCUUAGCGUUGGGAGUCUACGGCGGCGUCUGGCCUCGUAGUUCCUAAAAACCAACGGCGGAUUUGUAGUAUCCUCUGAGCGUAGUAAUUAUCUUCUCGCUUCUGUCAGGCGCUAUAAAUACAGCCGUUAAACCCCCAAUUUUUAAAGGUUGACCUCGGAUCAGGUAGGAAUACCCGCUGAACUUAA
rnacentral:misc_RNA from 1 species